rnacentral:rRNA from 1 species
UGGGGAAUUUUGGACAAUGGGCGCAAGCCUGAUCCAGCCAUGCCGCGUGCAGGAUGAAGGCCUUCGGGUUGUAAACUGCUUUUGUACGGAACGAAAAGGUGCCUUCUAAUAAAGGGCGCUCAUGACGGUACCGUAAGAAUAAGCACCGGCUAACUACGUGCCAGCAGCCGCGGUAAUACGUAGGGUGCGAGCGUUAAUCGGAAUUACUGGGCGUAAAGCGUGCGCAGGCGGUUUUGUAAGUCAGAGGUGAAAUCUUACAGCUUAACUGUGAAACUGCCUUUGAUACUGCAAGCCUAGAGUGUGGAAGAGAGCGAUGGAAUAUCUGGUGUAGCAGUGAAAUGCGUAGAUAUCAGAUAGAACACCAAUGGCGAAGGCAGUCACUUGGUCCAUUACUGACGCUAAAGCACGAAAGCGUGGGUAGCAAACA